rnacentral:rRNA from 1 species
GUCCUCGGGGGGCAGCAGUGGGGAAUAUUGCACAAUGGGGGAAACCCUGAUGCAGCGACGCCGCGUGAGUGAAGAAGUAUUUCGGGACGUAAAGCUCUAUCAGCAGGGAAGGAAAAAAGUCCUUUGGACUUUGGACGGUACCUGACUAAGAAGACCCGGCUAACUACGUGCCAGCAGCCGCGGUAAUACGUAGGGGGCAAGCGUUAUCCGGAUUUACUGGGUGUAAAGGGAGCGUAGACGGCAGCGCAAGUCUGGAGUGAAAUGCCGGGGACCAACCCCGGAACUGCUUUGG